rnacentral:rRNA from 1 species
UACGGAGGAUGCAAGCGUUAUCCGGAAUGAUUGGGCGUAAAGCGUCCGCAGGUGGCAAUGUAAGUCUGCUGUCAAAGCGUCUGGCUCAACCAGAGAAAGGCAGUGGAAACUACAUAGCUAGAGUAAGGUAGGGGUAGAGGGAAUUCCUGGUGUAGCGGUGAAAUGCGUAGAGAUCAGGAAGAACACCGGUGGCGAAAGCGCUCUGCUGGACCUUAACUGACACUCAGAGACGAAAGCUAGGGGAGCGAAUGGG